ACGGCUCAGCUAACACGUGGCUAAUCUGCCCUUAGGACGAGAACAACCCCGGGAAACUGGGGCUAACUCUCGAUAGGCGAAGAACUCUGGAAUGAGUCUUCACCUAAAUAGUUCAGCGUUACGCUCGUUGAACCGCCUAAGGAUGAGGCCGCGACCGAUCAGGUUGUUGGUGAGGUAAUGGCUCACCAAGCCUUUUACCGGUGCGGGCCGUGAGAGCGGGAGCCCGGAGAUGGGCACUGAGACAAGGGCCCAGGCCCUACGGGGCGCAGCAGUCGCGAAAACUUUGCAAUACACGAAAGUGUGACAGGGCUAUCCCGAGUGCCAUUCGCUGAGGAAGGCUUUUACCCAGUCUAGAAAGCUGGGGGAAUAAGGAGAGGGCAAGUCUGGUGUCAGCCGCCGCGGUAAUACCAGCUCUCCGAGUGGUGUGGAUGUUUAUUGGGCCUAAAGCAUCCGUAGCUGGCUAAGUUAGUCCCUUGUUAAAUCCACCGAAUUAAUCGUUGGAUUGCGGGGGAUACUGCUUAGCUAGGGGACGAGAGAGGCAGACGGUAUUUCCGGGGUAGGGGUGAAAUCCUAUAAUCCCGGGAAGACCACCAGUGGCGAAGGCUGUCUGCUAGAACGCGCCCGACGGUGAGGGAUGAAAGCUGGGGGAGCGAACCGGAUUAGAUACCCGGGUAGUCCCAGCUGUAAACGAUGCAAACUAGGUGUUUGAACGGCCACGUGCCGUUCUAGUGCCGCAGGGAAGCUGUUAAGUUUGCCGCCUGGGGAGUACGAUCGCAAGAUUGAAACUUAAAGGAAUUGGCGGGGGAGCAC
rnacentral:rRNA from 1 species